AACCGAUGUUGCUGCUCGUGGACUGGACGUUAAGGACAUCAGGGCGGUCGUAAACUAUGAUUUUCCCAAUGGAGUGGAAGACUAUGUUCAUAGAAUCGGAAGAACAGGAAGAGCUGGAGCGACUGGUCAUGCAUUCACAUUCUUUGGUGAUCAAGAUUCAAAACAUGCUUCAGAUCUGAUCAAGAUCUUGGAAGGAG